UACGUAGGGGGCUAGCGUUGUCCGGAAUCAUUGGGCGUAAAGAGCGUGUAGGCGGCCCGGUAAGUCCGCUGUAAAAGUCAAAGGCUCAACCUUUGAAUGUCAGUGGAUACUGCCGGGCUAGAGUCCGGAAGAGGCGAGUGGAACUCCUGGUGUAGCGGUGGAAUGUGCAGAUAUCAGGAAGAACACCAACGGCGACGGCAGCUCGCUGGGACGGUACUGACGCUGCGACGCGAAAGCGUGGGGAGCGAACAGG
rnacentral:rRNA from 1 species